rnacentral:tRNA from 1 species
AUUUAGAUAGUUUAAUUAAAAUAAUAAAUUGUGGAUUUAUAGAUGUAUAAACUCUAAAUA